rnacentral:rRNA from 1 species
CCUACGGGAGGCAGCAGUGGGGAAUAUUGGGCAAUGGGCGCAAGCCUGACCCAGCAACGCCGCGUGAAGGAAGAAGGCCCUCGGGUUGUAAACUUCUUUUAACAGGGACGAAGAAAGUGACGGUACCUGUUGCAUAAGCCACGGCUAACUACGUGCCAGCAGCCGCGGUAAUACGUAGGUGGCAAGCGUUAUCCGGAUUUACUGGGUGUAAAGGGCGUGUAGGCGGGAGAGCAAGUCAGACGUGAAAUUCCAGGGCUCAACCCUGGAACUGCGGUUGAAACUGUUCUUCUUGAGUGAAGGAGAGGCAGGCGGAAUUCCGUGUGUAGCGGUGAAAUGCGUAGACAUACGGAGGAACACCAGUGGCGAAGGCGGCCUGCUGGACAGUAACUGACGCUGAGGCGCGAAAGCGUGGGGAGCAAACAGGAUUAGAUACCCGUGUAGUC